UCUUGGCAGGAAAGCAAUGACAAACUUAGAUAAUGUACUGAAAAGCAGCGACAUUACUCUGCUGACAAAGGUCUGUAUAGUCAAGGCUAUGGUCUUCCUAGUGGUCACAUACUGUUGUGAGAGCUUGAUCAUAAAGAAGGCAGAAUGCCAAAGAAUUGAUGCUUUUGAACUGUGGUGUUGGAGAAGAC